rnacentral:rRNA from 1 species
UACGGGGGGGGCGAAGCGUUGUUCGGAAUUACUGGGCGUAAAGGGCUCGUAGGCGGCCAACUAAGUCAGACGUGAAAUCCCUCGGCUUAACCGGGGAACUGCGUCUGAUACUGGUUGGCUUGAGUGUGGGAGAGGGAGUGCGGAAUUCCAGGUGUAGCGGUGAAAUGCGUAGAUAUCUGGAGGAACACCGGUGGCGAAGGCGGCAUCCUGGACCAUUACUGACGCUGAGGAGCGAAAGCCAGGGGAGCAAACGGG